rnacentral:lncRNA from 1 species
GCAUUAUUUACAACAGUACAAAAUUAUUUACUAAACGUGGGGAGACUCAUAAACCAACUAAAAGAAGGAUGGAGUCCUUAUUAAACUAUUGAACAAAAUAUAAAGCUCGUAUAAAGCCAUGAUAUGCUAAUAAAAACUAAAAUGAUGUAUGAACAGAAACCACAUAAUUAUUAUGUACUAUUUAUUCAUAAUAUCCACAACAACAGCAUACGAAGUGAGUUGCAGGAUUUCAAUUCCUAAUUCCCACAACAACAAUAUAUACCAUAUCUCAAUGAUCCCAAAACGUACAAUAUUUUAAUCAGAGUUAUCAUUAUCAGUUAAAACAAUAGAAACCAAUUCAAGCAUAUAAAACUAAGGAACACUAGAUCAAUAUAUAUCUACAUAAAGUCCCAAUUAGGUAAUCACUAAUUCAUCUAUUAGAACUUCAAAUUAAAACAAUAGGCUUCACUAGACAUUAAAUAUUAGAGUCAAACAAAUCAAACAUGGAUAUAAAGGAUGUGUUGUAAAUAUUUUACAGAGAGUCAGUCCACAUAUUUAAUCCAAUUUUCACAACACAAUGCAAUGAACAUAACAUUAACACUGGAAACUCAUAAUUAUCUACAUAUUAAAGCAUAUAAAAUGAAUCAACCACACUAAAGCAAACUUCAUUAAACUAAAAUAAAUCUAAGCAAACUAAUAUUAUGACUAUUUACAAAUUAUCUACAGAGUACCAGCUAAAACAUGAUAAAACAAUCACAAUCCAAUUUAAUUGAAAUUUAUAUUCCACGACUUUAACACGAUUGAACUUGAGAUCAAAAAUUUAUCGACUCCAAAUUUGAACUUGUUGAGCUCAGGCCGACUAAUGCACGAACGAAAAUCAACAUAACGCGGAAGUUAUCGUGUGUAUCUAUGAAUGAAUCUUUGUAGAGGGAGAUCGUAGGAGUUGUAG